AAACUGAGAGGAAGAGGAAAAAAAAAAAAGAGAAUUUGAGAGAUUUUGGAAAAAUUGAGGUGCUUUCUAUUGAAAUUUCUCAUUGGAUGGCUUUGAGGUUAAGAAUUAAUCAUCUGGGAACGUGUUAAACCAGAAAUUGAAGCUGGAAAACAAAGAGAAAAAAGGAAUUUCGAUUUUUUUUUUCAGUUUUGCCGACCGAAGAAGAGGAAAAAGUUGUUUUCGAAUUAAGGCUGUUCUUGAAAAUUGGGCAAAAUGAAAUAAAAUUAAAGAGGAAGUAAGGAAGAAGCACGUAGGAUGCUUGAUUUGAAGAAAUUUGGCCGAAGAAGAAAGGAAAAUGAAGAAAAACAGUGGCGCUAGAGUUAUCGCGAAAGCAGAGGAUACUCGGGUUUUUAGAAAAUUCGUGGAGUUAGAGGCUAAUUCGAAGCUCAAAAUUUAAAGGGGUACCGUGGAGAGUUUGGUCGAUUCCGGGCGUUCUAGGACAAUUCGAACGUCCAAACUUUGAGCACUGCUCAGGCGAUCAGGGGGCUACCGGGGUCAGAUAUUGCUAGAAUAUAUCCGGAAGUCCAGAGGAACCUGCACCUGUAGCGCCACCCAGGCUAUCAAGGGGCUAUCAUCGGGGUUAGAUGUGGUCAGAGUAUACCAGGGAGUCCAGAGUAACCUGGGCCUGUGGUGUGUAUUUAUGCUUAGCCUUGAGGCAGCUCUGCAAGCACAUAUGACCUUGUGAUUUGGUUUACACCGCGGGGAGCAUUCUUUGUCCAGAGUAACCCAUCGUUGUAAACGAGUAUUUGGGUACAGAGUUUGUGUGGUUUUCUGAUAAUGACUUAAUGCUUUAUAAUGUGCUUAUGAGAGUUGAUCAUGCCACUUUUUUUUACUAGCACGUGUUUGAGAUGUUGUUGAAUCGUUUAUAC